CCACCCAGGCGCAUGGCUCCAUGAAGCAAGAGGAGGAGGCAGAGCGCGAGAGGUCCCGUCCGCCCCAGCCGCGUCUGGGCCAGGAUAAAAGCAAAACCAUAUUCCUGCUGCUGUCAGUUAUGAUGCACUGAGAAAACUUCAGAGACCUAAACUUUUUCCAGAGAAGAGAAGCUUUACUGGUGUUCCAGCCCUAAGAAACCUUUGUUCAAGAAAACGGCAGAUGCUCUGUUGAAUCCACUGGAGAUUGUUCUGAUACUAAGGACAAGUAUCAACCAUCUUUCCUGUGAAAAAUUCCCUCUCGUACUUUAGUUCUGUGGAUCCAAAAUUUAUAGCAUUCUUCUACCACCACAGGGGCUCAUAUGACAUUAACAGACAAGACACUUUUCAGAAAGACAGGUUGUUCUUUUGGGCCACAUCUAAGAAAUCUUUGUCUAGCCAAAAGCCACAAAUAAUUUCUCAUUUUUUGGCUUCUGGAAGAUGUACAGUUAAAUGUUAUAUUUGGGACUGUUAUCUAAUUUGAUUAAAUUGCACUCUACAAUAUGAUAUUUGAAUUGAUGAAAAAUUAGUAAAUGUUAAUAUUUUUUAAAGUAGCCAAAUCUUGCAAUUUAUAUAUAAUAGAGAAGACUAGAAAAUCCCCCAUAUUUAUUUCCUCUUACUUCGUACUACUAAAAUUUGUAUUUAGGCAUUUGGUUUCUCAGAUAAACAUUACAUUCCCC
rnacentral:lncRNA from 1 species